rnacentral:misc_RNA from 1 species
GCUGUACAUAGCCCAAGAAAUCCUGAACUGAACUUGGAAGAUUAAAUGUAUGUAUUGGGAAAAUGAACAGUGAAUCUUGAAAUGAUUUGCAGAUAAUAUUUUUUCAUUCAUCUACUGAUUUAUUAUGGUAACUGUUGAUGACAAGCCUUGAAUAUAUAAUAUUAGGUAAUUCUGUGUGUUCUCAUCAAGUGAGCAAACUAUUAUCAUAUAUUCUUGAUAAAUUAUAAGAAAUUACUCAACUUACUUUCAUCUUUUUAG